GACGAACGCUGGCGGCGUGCCUAAUACAUGCAAGUCGAACGCACAGUUUAUACCUUAGCUUGCUGCACCAUAGACUGUGAGUUGCGAACGGGUGAGUAACGCGUAGGUAACCUGCCUGGUAGCGGGGGAUAACUACUGGAAACGAUAGCUAAUACCGCAGAAUAUUAAUUAUUGCUUGAUAAUUAAUUUAAAGGUGCAAUUGCACCACUACCAGAUGGACCUGCGUUGUAUUAGCUAGUAGGGGAGGUAACGGCGCACCUAGGCGACGAUACAUAGCCGAACGGCGAGGGUGGUCGGCCGCCCUGGGACUGGGACCCGGCCCAGACUCCUUCGGGGAGCAGCCGGAGGGCAUCUUGGGCAAUGGGCGAAAGUCUUACCGAAAAACGCCGCGUGCGUGUAGAAGGUUUUCGGGUCGUAAAGCUCGGUUGUCGGGGAAGAAAGGGUGUGAAGGUGGAAAGUUCACACUGUGACGGUACCUGCACAGAAAGCGCCGGCUAACUACGUG
rnacentral:rRNA from 1 species